UAUGUUUUGCCAGCUGCCGUAAAUGACUGUAAAAGAGCAGCAAAGAACAAGUGCAGUAAAGAAGAACGAUGGCUGCUCUCUCACCGGCUGUGGACUCAUUGCCCAUCCAGCAGCAUCCUCCUCCUCUUGCUUUGCCCGUCAACUGUUCUGCAACCGUGGCUGCAGAGUCUCGAAUGAGUGUGACUCUGCAAAUUUUAGUUGAAAAGAUUCCUCAUUUUACUGCAACAACCUACAGUCAAGUGUAUGAGAUUUCAAAAGACAGCAGCAAGAACUGAUGAAAACAGACCAUUUUUCUUGAUCCCCAUACAAUAAUUGAAUGGCCAUUGACAAUCACAAUAAUCAUACAUAAGCUUGUAGCAAGUAAAUCUCAGCUCUUAAUAUUUUCUGAUGCCUGUGCUACAUGAAAUAUAAUUUGUGAGGAAAUUACAUUUAUUGUUCACAUUUGUGUGACUGGAAAGCACAAAACUGGCUGUACAGGAUUAAAAAAAAAAAUAGAAAUAUAUACUGGAAAAAGCCUAUCAAAUUCAUUCAGCUCCUCUGGACUUUGGCACAUUUUUUGCAGUGUUUCAAGUCUUUAAUAUCAAUCAUGUAGAAAUACGCCAAAAGAAAGUGCAGAUGUGAAAAAAAAGGUUUAAUAUUAAGUAGAGGCUACACUUUGAGUGCAUAUGGAUGGACCCACACAUCUUCACGUUUAGGGUUGUUGUCUUGUUAGAAAAAUAAAUAGUUUCACAAAUAUCUGUUGUGCAGACUGUCUUUCUCCAGGAUCUCUUUUUUGCUGCAUUGUUUAAUCCCUGUGCUUUUACGAGCCCGUAGGAUCUGCUGCAGAGAAACAUUCCCUCGAUGUUGGAGUUGGUGUGUCUCCGUUUAUGUGCACUGUUUGGUUUACACCUGACAUUGCAUUUAGCGUGAUGAGUUCGUGGCCCCUUUAAUGUUUCAUAAGGCCUUAUGUUGUAUGGCCUGUCAAGAUGUGCCCUUCUCACUCAGGCUCACAUGUUUUGAGGAUGGAUUUACAGCUGUGCUCUUUGAUAUGCAUAUUUCAAGCGAUGCUCAGUGCCCCGAGAAUUUUCUUAUAUCAUGCACCCGACUUUUCAGUAGUCUCAUGAUGCAAUGGCUUUGACUUGAUGAUGUAAUUUUUGCCAUGAUGACUAACCAGCAAGUGACCCUGUGGAUAAGUUAGUGUUUAAAGUAAAGUCACUUGUCACACUUUGAUUGGACACACAUGUGAUUUUAGUGUCAAUAGAGAUUGUUUAGGUAUGGAUGAUUGACACAUUAAAGGAAAACCAGCAUGAAAUGUUUCAGUAAGAUGCUGCACAACAAGAACAGCUUCAGUUCAUCUGACUGGCAGCACUGAUUCUGUAAGUCUCUGUAGGAGAGAUUAAAAACCGUUAUUCCAAAA